GCAGGCCUAACACAUGCAAGUCGAGCGGUAGCACAGAGAGCUUGCUCUCGGGUGACGAGCGGCGGACGGGUGAGUAAUGUCUGGGAAACUGCCUGAUGGAGGGGGAUAACUACUGGAAACGGUAGCUAAUACCGCAUAAUGUCGCAAGACCAAAGUGGGGGACCUUCGGGCCUCAUGCCAUCAGAUGUGCCCAGAUGGGAUUAGCUAGUAGGUGGGGUAACGGCUCACCUAGGCGACGAUCCCUAGCUGGUCUGAGAGGAUGACCAGCCACACUGGAACUGAGACACGGUCCAGACUCCUACGGGAGGCAGCAGUGGGGAAUAUUGCACAAUGGGCGCAAGCCUGAUGCAGCCAUGCCGCGUGUGUGAAGAAGGCCUUCGGGUUGUAAAGCACUUUCAGCGGGGAGGAAGGCGUUGAGGUUAAUAACCUCAUCGAUUGACGUUACCCGCAGAAGAAGCACCGGCUAACUCCGUGCCAGCAGCCGC
rnacentral:rRNA from 1 species